GCCGGAAAUGGGCUGGGUUUUGCCUGAGCCGCAGCUGUCUGGGCUGGAACUGCUUGGCCUUUUGAAGAAUGUCUGUGUCUUUCACCUUCAUUGGUAUGACACAAUGAACUUGGAAGCCCUGUCCCCGUUUGACCUUCAGUGACAGUCUCUGGGCCUCAAGGGGAGGAUAUGAUACACUUGUGGAUCUCAGUGUUGAUUCUGAUCUACUGCAGUAAGAAGCUUCUUUGAUAGGCAAAGAUUAAAACAGAGACAGAAGGAACACCCAUUCAGAGCCUGCCCC
rnacentral:sRNA from 1 species